rnacentral:rRNA from 1 species
GAUGAACGCUAGCUACAGGCUUAACACAUGCAAGUCGAGGGGUUUCGAAGAGCUUGCUCCGAGAGACGACCGGCGCACAGGUGAGUAACGCGUAUCCAACCUGCCCUUCAUAUUGGGAUAGCCUUCCGAAAGGGAGAUUAAUACCGAAUAACAUGAGAAGAUUGCAUGAACCUCUCAUGAAAGCUCCGGCGAUGAAGGAUGGGGAUGCGUUCCAUUAGGUAGUAGGCGGGGUAACGGCCCACCUAGCCGACGAUGGAUAGGGGUUCUGAGAGGAAGGUCCCCCACACGGGAACUGAGACACGGUCCAGACUCCUACGGGAGGCAGCAGUGAGGAAUAUUGGUCAAUGGGCGCAAGCCUGAACCAGCCAAGCAGCGUGAAGGAUGACUGCCCUAUGGGUUGUAAACUUCUUUUAUACGGGAACAAACCUUGGUACGCGUACCAAAUUGCGUCUACCGUAUGAAUAAGCAUCGGCUAACUCCGUGCCAGCCGCCGCCGUAACAC